CGCUGUGAAGCGGAAUCUGAAGGAAGCCGACGGCAAAAGUCUGGCCUGACGUACAGAAACCGCAUACAAGGCUUACAUGUAGAGUGAGACUGCUAAAGGAGUCAAAGCUCGAUAGUCAUUCGGAAUGCAUGUGAGUAAAUGCGGCAGGCAUAAGGCGGAAAGA
rnacentral:ncRNA from 1 species